GUGACUCACAAUUGGAGAGUGACGAGACAAGUAGGCAGACUUGGACUAGAUGGUGAGCUUGCUUACUUCAAACAUAGGAGGGAUAGAUUUAGAAGCAGAACGAAGAGUUAACAUUGGCGUUGCUUUCUACCGCUGGAGACAAAAAUAAAAGUGGAAAUGAAAAAAACCUAGGAUGGGGAAAAAUGUCUUACCUCCAUAGGAUCCAGAGGCUCUCCGUUCUUCAGCCAGCGGUACGAGGGCUUGGGCUUGGCACUGGCCUUGCAUUCCCACACCAGCGUGUCGUCGAUGGUCUUCUGGACGUCCUGCGGCUUCUCGGUCAAAUGAGGAGCAGCUGAGAGGUCACAAACCACACACUGUGAAUGUAAUGCUGCACAGAUGCUUGUGCAUCAGAUGCUUGUGCAUCACCUGUAUGUAGCACUUUAACAAUAAAUCAAUGAACCAACCAA